AUGCAAUGAUGGUAUCGUUGCAUGUUUUUUGUCAUCAUAAAAAAGCUAAAACUAUACUGUAAGAAUGGUUCAACCUUUGUGCAUGGCUAUAGUCAACUUAGCAUAUCCAGAAAUCUGCAGAGUUGACGCAAACACGGAAUUACCCAGAAGCCAUUUGUGUGAACAUUAAGCAAUCAAAAGUGACAGAACUUCAAAUUCAACAGCAUAUAUAGUUAAAGCCGCGUCAAUCGCGUAACGACGUGCAUGGUUGUUGUCCUAAAAAACAUUCUGGGAAUUUUGAAUCAUCAGAUGAAGCGUGAAGACAAAGGUUGUGCUUUUCUUGUGUAAUUAGAGGAGCAGUUCUCCUACCCCUAUCCGUAUUUGAUCUAUAUAUUCAUUGGACGACCAAUAAGAUUCACCUAAUAUUCUGUUAUCCGAUCCACUCUAAUCUAAUGUGAUUUCUGUACAUGCCACGGCUAAAUAACAGGCAUGCACCCAAUUUAAUAAUUAUUAUUUAUUG